rnacentral:lncRNA from 1 species
CGGGAUUAUGGCUUCCGUUCUAUAGGCCAAGCUGAAAGGUGAUUCCCCGGUCGGGACCUGGGGUGUCGUCCGGUAUGCCCACAGGAUGGAGUUCAGCUCCUCGACCCAAAGGCCCUUGGCUUCAUUCAGUCGGGUUUUGAGCCCAUGCAGUAUGGUCCGAUUGGUCACCUCGACCUCACCGUUGGACUGUGGAUGCCUGAUCGAGGUUAGUCAG